UACGUAGGGGGCGAGCGUUAUUCGGAAUUAUUGGGCGUAAAGAGCGUGUAGGCGGCCUGAAAGGUCAGCUGUGAAAACUCGAGGCUCAACCUCGAGACGUCGGUUGAAACCAUCUGGCUAGAGUCCGGAAGAGGAGUGUGGAAUUCCCGGUGUAGCGGUGAAAUGCGCAGAUAUCGGGAAGAACACCCGUGGCUAAGGCGGCUCUCUAGUACGGUACUGACGCUGAGACGCGAAAGCGUGGGGAGCGAACAGG
rnacentral:rRNA from 1 species